rnacentral:misc_RNA from 1 species
AUGCUUGUGGUGCUUCUCCUCCUUCUCGAAGUCAACAGGUUCAUCGCCUUCCUUGUGAUGGUGGAAGUGGUGGUGGUGCUUAUUCUCUUCGGCCAUAGUUGUGGUAUUGGUGAUGAAAAAUUAUAGCAGCAGAAAAUUAAUAUAAAUGAAUGAGUAAUCAAAGGCUUAGGGUGUGGUUUGAAAGAGUUUUGAGGUAAGCUAUUUAUAAUAUGGAUCAAUCCAGGCUGCAUCACAUUUUAAAUAUUAUAGAUUCAUGUGGGGAUGUGGCUAUUCGAGACAG